UCUACAGAAACCCACAGGGUGGUUAGAGUGAUCGUGUGUGUAAACAGCUUCUCGUGCUUGCACACACUCUUAAAAUUACCAGGUUUCUGUAAACAUAUUUCUGGGUUGUUUUGCUUUCAAUGGGGUAGAAAUGGGUCCAUAUCUGGUUGGGUUAAAUUGACCCAACUCCUGGUUCGUUAAUUUUCACGCUCAUUUAUUGUUGAAAUCUAGUUUUGUCUGGAUCCAAGUGACUGGACAGAAUGAGAGUGAAGAGCACCACAGACACAAGAUUUUUCUGAAACCAUGGAUAAGAAAAGACAAGUAAGAUGCUUCAGUGGAGGAGGAGAACCAAGGAAGAGAAGAAGAAGGAGAAGAAGAUGGAGGAGAAUUGCAAAUCAUUAAAACAAAAGAAGAAUUUUGUGUAUCUUAUUAUGCAAUUGUGUUACCAGUCUGACCCCUUGAGACUAAAAUGAGUUUGACCCACCUGGUCUAGAGAGUGUGUGAGAGUGAGUUUUCAUUUAGAAAUGUUGUUUUGAUCUAAACUAUAUUUGUGUUUUAUUUAUUUAUAUUUACUCUUUAUUUUAUUUAGUUUAUUUACAUGUUUUAAUUCUUCUUUGGUUCUGAAUGUGAUUUUAUACUAUAUUUGUUUCCAAAUUGUCAUUAAAAGUGCCAUUAAAUGAAACAUAGCAGUAGCUUUUAUUUUAGUUUGAUUGUACAAAUAACAAUAAAUUAAACAUAAUUUUUUAUAA